GAGAGACAGAAAGAGAGAGAGAGAGAAAAAAAAAAGGGAUUUUCUUCAAAACAAUAUCAAACAUACCCUUUGGAGGGAGAGAGACAGAAGGAGAGAGAUAAAAAAAAGUGAUUUUCUGAGAGAGAGAGAGAGAGAGAGAGAGAGAGAGAGAGAGGUCAACCGUUACCAAACCCACUCGUUCUAAUAGAAGCGGAGGUCUAGAUUUUUGGUUGAUUUGACAUAGCUAUCAGAUGACCAAAGGAUGCCGACGUCUAUGGCAACAAUACCCCCUGAGUCUAUUCAACAACAAAUGGUGCAAACUUCAUGUCCUUGCAAUUGAAAUCUGGGUUUGUAGAAAGUCUGUAUGAUUUCUUCUUCUUCACCUUGAUUUGCUGAAAUUAGUAUUCAUUACUGAAAUUAUUCACCCUUCUUUUGGCCCGCUUAUUGCAAAAUGUAAAUUUGCCUUUGCUUCUUUGGAUUUCCUGUAUGUAUAGAAUGAUUUUGUAUUUUGAUGGUGAUAAUUGAAUACCAUCUGGAUUUGAUUCUGCGGAAGCUGCUGCUAGUAAUAGGUCAAAUCGAUGAAUCCCAUACUUUGGUAUUUUGAUUCGAAACCAAAACGACUGAUUGUAAACUGCUAGAUAAUUCGCCAAGUUUGGGUUCGGUGGAAAUUGCUCUCUACUCUAAAUUAGCAAAGAGAAUUCCUUUCAAUAUUUUGUCUAAAAUUUGUUAUCUUAGUGGCAAUAUGGCUCCAUUCCAAAUGAUCUAUGUCAUCUGAGCAAUCUGGGUGAGUUAAGAAUGAGCAGAAACAGACUUUUAGGGUCAACACCAAGUUGCUUUGGGAAUCUUACCUCUCUAACAGCUUGAUAGCAAUAAUUUAAAUUCAAGUAUACCCUUAAGGAGGACAUAUUGGUUUUUAACUUGUCAUCAAAUUCACUAGAUGGAAAGCUGCCAUCUGAAUUGGAAAUUUAGACGUCAUCUAUCAAAUGGACUUGUCAAAGAAUCAUUUCUUUGGUGGUAUUAUUCCUAGUGAGAUCGGUGCUCUCCAACAGUUGAUAAUUUAUCUCUCUUUGGCACAUAAUAACUUGCAAGGACCUAUACCAGUUUCAAUUGGGAGCACCUGGAUCUCUCCAAUAACAUACUCUCUGCUGUGAUUCCCAAGUGUCUGGAAGCCCUAGCAUAUUUCAAGUACUUGAACGUGUCUUUCAACAGACCAGAAGGAGAAAUUUCUUGCAGAGGACCAUUUACAAACUUCACAGCUCAAUCUUUUAUGCACAAUCUUGGACUCUGCAGAGCCUCUCAGCUAGGCUUCAAUAAGAUUUCUGAAAUAUGUUUUACCAGCUACAGCUUCAGCAAUAUUGCUACUAGCCCUUGUAUGUGUCCUGGCAAGGCGGCAAAGAAAAAAGGAGAACAGUCCUGUCUCUACUGAACCUGAUUUGCUACAUAUGGCAACAAAUAGGAGGUUUUCAUACCAGGAACUCAUGCAGACUACAAAUGGAUUAGACGGAAGUAACCUACUUCUGUAUAUAGAGGGAUGCUUGGUAUGGCUGUUGCAGUAAAGGUAUUCAAUUUGCAACUAGUUUUGACGCAGAAUGUGAAGUUCUUUGAAGCAUUCGUCACAGAAAUCUUAUCAAAAUUAUCAGCAGCUGUGCCAAUGUUGACUUCAAAGCAUUGGUGAUGGAGUUCAUGCCCAAUGGAAACCUUGAGGCAUUUUUGUACUCUAAUUCCUAUUGCUUGGAUAUGCUACAGAGAGUAUGGAUCACAGGGAAUAGUGUCUUAUGGAAUCAUGUUGAUGGAAACAUUUACAAGGAAGAAGCCCAGAGGAGAAAUGUGCUUGAAAGAUUGGGUGUUAGACUCAUUGCAGGUGAGAUGAUGGAUUCCAAACAUAAAUGAGAGUGAUCUCGCAGCUAAUGUGUAUCAUCUGUCAUGCGUUUGGCUUGUGAAAUGAGGAUCAACAUUCUGCACAGGCUGAAGAAAAUAAAGGACAAGUAUGAAAUGAACAUGCAAGCCUCUUGCAAAUUACCAUAAAAUCUUUUCUUUUCCUCUACAAAAGUGGAAUACUUUUUGCUUCUAUGAUGGUUAAACUACCAUACAGUCUCAACUUAUGCUUACAUAAAACAAUUUAUUCCUCUAAAUUCUAGAGUGUACGAACUAGUUUUAGUAAAAGUUGUGUCCUUUGUAAUUCUGUGCAUCAGCUUCAAUAUAUAAUUGAAAUGAAAUUUUUUUAUGAACCAAA